AGAUUGCUUGCCCCCCAACCCACCCACUGAUUGCUUGCCCCCCGGCCCAUGUGAAGGGGUGCGUGUUGGGUGACGGGACUCGUGACUGGUCGCCAUGAAUUGUCGAGUCUUGGGCAGUGGGACUAGCUCAAGAAGUUGAAGUUGGGCGAUGAGACUGGCUCAAGGCUCAAGAAAUUGUAUUUAUAAAAUUCCGGCUGUUGUCUCCUUCAAAGUUGCUUCAGUCUUCGUCAAAGGUUGUCUCGAACGCAGAGGGCUGUGUCGAAUGCAGAGGUCAGUCAAAGGUUGUGUCUAACGCAAAGGCUAGUCCCUCUCAUACGGCUCAAGUAGUUACAUCAAAUAAAGGGUGCAAAUUAUGGUAGAGUGCAUGAACUCAAGAGCUUGAUUCAGAUUCUACUGUCUUAAUCAUGGCUUUUUGUGAGAGGAUCACUAUUUUUUGUGAGGGAAUUCGUAAUUUUCGUGAGAGUAUUAUUGAUAGAAGAGACAUUGGCAGCAGUAGAAUAUUUUGUACAUGAUUUCACCCUUUACAUUAUUUCAUAUUUCGCUAUAGGAAUUAUUCCAUAUUUUUUACUUAAGUGAACAUUUUUUUAGUUGUUGUA